GACGAACGCUGGCGGCGUGCCUAAUACAUGCAAGUCGAACGCACUCUCGUUUAGAUUGAAGGAGUUUGCUCCUGAUUGAUAAACAUUUGAGUGAGUGGCGGACGGGUGAGUAACACGUGGGUAACCUGCCCUAAAGUGGGGGAUAACAUUUGGAAACAGAUGCUAAUACCGCAUAAAACCUAACACCGCAUGGUGUAGGGUUGAAAGAUGGUUUCGACUAUCACUUUAGGAUGGACCCGCGGUGCAUUAGUUAGUUGGUGAGGUAAAGGCUCACCAAGACCGUGAUGCAUAGCCGACCUGAGAGGGUAAUCGGCCACACUGGGACUGAGACACGGCCCAGACUCCUACGGGAGGCAGCAGUAGGGAAUCUUCCACAAAGGACGAAAGUCUGAUGGAGCAACGCCGCGUGAGUGAAGAAGGUUUUCGGAUCGUAAAACUCUGUUGUUGGAGAAGAAUGUAUCUGAUAGUAACUGAUCAGGUAGUGACGGUAGCCAACCAGAAAGCCACGGCUAACUACGUG
rnacentral:rRNA from 1 species